CGGGUACAACGAGUCGCAAGCUCGCGAGAGUAAGCUAAUCUCUUAAAGCCGUUCUCAGUUCGGACUGUAGGCUGCAACUCGCCUACACGAAGUCGGAAUCGCUAGUAAUCGCGGAUCAGCAUGCCGCGGUGAAUACGUUCCCGGGCCUUGUACACACCGCCCGUCACACCAUGGGAGUUUGUAACGCCCAAAGUCGGUGGCCUAACCUUUAUGGAGGGAGCCGCCUAAGGCGGGACAGAUGACUGGGGUGAAGUCGUAACAAGGUAUC
rnacentral:rRNA from 1 species